AACGAACGCUGGCGGCAGGCCUAACACAUGCAAGUCGAGCGAGGACUUCGGUCCUAGCGGCGGACGGGUGAGUAACGCGUGGGAACGUGCCCUUUGCUACGGAAUAGCCCCGGGAAACUGGGAGUAAUACCGUAUGUGCCCUUAGGGGGAAAGAUUUCUCGGCAAAGGAUCGGCCCGCGUUGGAUUAGGUAGUUGGCGGGGUAAUGGCCUACCAAGCCGACGAUCCAUAGCUGGUUUGAGAGGAUGAUCAGCCACACUGGGACUGAGACACGGCCCAGACUCCUACGGGAGGCAGCAGUGGGGAAUCUUAGACAAUGGGCGCAAGCCUGAUCUAGCCAUGCCGCGUGAGCGAUGAAGGCCUUAGGGUUGUAAAGCUCUUUCAGGUGGGAAGAUAAUGACUGUACCACCAGAAGAAGCCCCGGCUAACUCCGUGCCAGCCGCCGCAGUAACAC
rnacentral:rRNA from 1 species